GUAAGCCCAGAAAACCAAGUAUGUGAAAUUCGUCCAUAAUCCUAUAUUGUCUUUAUGAUAUUCACGCAUCAGUACCAAUUAUUCAGAUCGAAAAAAAUGAAAACUAAACUGAAACGAAAACGGUAAGUAUAUCUUUCCCAAUGUUCAAAGCUAUUGUUUACUCAUAAGAUAACCGAGACAUCCAACAGCAAAACAACUAGGAUAUUUAUUCACAGAAUCUUAGCAUAUCCAAUUUGAAGCAAAGGACUUUAAAACAAUACACAUAUCGUACCGUAUGUAUGAUCCUGUUAACAAACUUUAUAUAUUAUGCCAUGAAGAAAAAUGAAACAAUUUGUUCACCAAAUUCAAGCCAGCAUACACAGUGGACAACCUAAGUACAAAGUUCAGUAUAUCGAUUUCAAGAAC
rnacentral:lncRNA from 1 species